rnacentral:rRNA from 1 species
UACGGAGGGUGCGAGCGUUGUUCGGAAUCACUGGGCGUAAAGCGCGUGUAGGCGGCCUGCUAAGUCUGAUGUGAAAGCCCGAGGCUCACCCUCGGAAGUGCAUUGGAAACUGGCAGACUGGAGUCCCGGAGAGGAGGGUGGAAUUCCUGGUGUAGCGGUGAAAUGCGCAGAUAUCGGGAGGAACACCGGUGGCGAAGGCGGUUCUCUGGGCCUGACCUGACGCUGAGGAGCGAAAGCGUGGGGAGCGAACAGG